GGCCCUGCGCACGCAGCACCCAGCUUGCCAAGUUCCUGCGCGCAUGAUAGUAGGCCUAUUCGCUUGUAGACUAGCCUGUAGCACACUGGCCGGGCACUGCCAUCUCUGGUAGUGCACCAUCGCUGCCUUGGGCAGAGCAUUGCCACUGUCGAUGGAAGAGGUCCUCCUUCCUCAUUUUUCGUACCAAGAAUCUUUUUCUCCUCUCUCUUUACUGAAUUUUACCACUUAUCGUGAAUCUAAUAGUUCCAAAUUUCUAUGAAUUGCCCCCUUCCUUUCCUCUCC
rnacentral:lncRNA from 1 species